rnacentral:rRNA from 1 species
AUUGAACGCUGGCGGCAGGCCUAACACAUGCAAGUCGAGCGAGCGGCGGACGGGUGAGUAAUGUCUGGGGAACUGCCUGAUGGAGGGGGAUAACUACUGGAAACGGUAGCUAAUACCGCAUACCAUCAGAUGUGCCCAUAUGGGAUUAGCUAGUAGGUGGGGUAACGGCUCACCUAGGCGACGAUCCCUAGCUGGUCUGAGAGGAUGAUCAGCCACACUGGGACUGAGACACGGCCCAGACUCCUACGGGAGGCAGCAGUGGGGAAUAUUGCACAAUGGGCGCAAGCCUGAUGCAGCCAUGCCGCGUGUAUGAAGAAGGCCUUCGGGUUGUAAAGUACUUUCAGUCGGGAGGCGUUACCGACAGAAGAAGCACCGGCUAACUCCGUGCCAGCAGCCGCGGUAAUUC